rnacentral:rRNA from 1 species
GACGAACGCUGGCGGCGUGCUUAACACAUGCAAGUCGAACGAAGAGCGACGGAAGCUUGCUUCUAUCAAUCUUAGUGGCGAACGGGUGAGUAACGCGUAAUCAACCUGCCCUUCAGAGGGGGACAACAGUUGGAAACGACUGCUAAUACCGCAUACGAUCUAACCUCGGCAUCGAGGAUAGAUGAAAGGUGGCCUCUACAUGUAAGCUAUCACUGAAGGAGGGGAUUGCGUCUGAUUAGCUAGUUGGAGGGGUAACGGCCCACCAAGGCGAUGAUCAGUAGCCGGUCUGAGAGGAUGAACGGCCACAUUGAGACUGAGACACGGCCCAGACUCCUACGGGAGGCAGCAGUGGGGAAUCUUCCGCAAUGGACGAAAGUCUGACGGAGCAACGCCGCGUGAGUGAGGACGGCCUUCGGGUUGUAAAGCUCUGUUAAUCGGGACGAAAGGCCUUCUUGCGAAUAGUGAGAAGGAUUGACGGUACCGGAAUAGAAAGCCACGGCUAACUACGUG